AUGGCAACGGCCACAAUGGCGACGGCUGCAGGUGCCGCCGCGCUGCUCUACUACACGCUGAACCGCCGGCUGCACACGGAGAAGCUGGACAGGGAAGGGGGCUCGGACGGCGAGAAUGGCAGGGACGCGGCGGCCAGCGGCACGCUGGAGUCCCAUAGCAUGAGCCGGGUGUCGCGGAGGGACGUGCGCGCCCCCGCCACGUGGCUGGAGACCAUCUCGACCCUGUCGGAGACGCUGCGGUUCACGUACUCUGAGACCCUUGGGAAGUGGCCCAUCGGGGACCUCGCUUUCGGAAUCAGCUUCCUCCUCAAGAGACAGGGGAACUUAUCUGUUGCAAGCAUAUAUGCUGGAGAUGAUAGUGUGGAGCUCAAAGGAGCUUCGGUAGUUACGGACUUGAGGUAUCUUUUGAAUUUGUUGACACUGUGUUGGCAUUUUUCCAAAAAGCCAUUCCCGUUAUUUUUGGAAGCUACUGGCUACUCCAUGGAGGAUGUUCUUAUGCAAGAACCUAAAGCAGGGAUUUUGAAGCCAGCUUUCACCAUUUUACUUGAUAGAGACAGACAAUGUAUACUUCUACUAAUUAGAGGCACCCACAGUAUAAGGGAUACCCUGACAGCUGCUACGGGUGCUGUGGUUCCGUUCCACCAUACAAUAGUCAAAGAAGGUGGUGUUAGUGAUCUAGUUUUAGGGUAUGCACAUUUUGGGAUGGUUGCAGCGGCUAGAUGGAUUGCAAAGCUUGCAACUCCUUGUCUCACAGAAGCAUUACAUUUGUAUCCAGAUUAUAAAAUAAAGGUUGUUGGACAUUCACUUGGAGGUGGUACAGCAGCUCUCUUGACAUACGUCCUGAGGGAACAGCAGGAGUUUGCCUCCGCUACUUGCGUGUCAUUUGCUCCAGCUGCUUGUAUGACAUGGGAGCUGGCUGAGUCAGGAGUACAUUUUAUCACUACAGUCAUCAAUGGUGCUGAUUUGGUGCCAACAUUUUCGGCGGCGGCAGUAGAUGAUCUUCGUUCAGAGGUGACGGCAUCUGCCUGGCUGAAUGAUCUCCGUCACCAAAUCGAGCAAACCAGAAUCCUGAGCACUUUCUAUCGAUCUGCAUCUGCCUUGGGAUCGCGACUUCCUUCUAUAGCAAAUGCUAAAGCUAGAGUAGCUGGUGCUGGUGCCAUCCUAAGACCUGUAUCUAAUGGAACACAGGUUGUAAUGAGGAGAGCUCGCAGUGUAGCACAAGCAGCAUGGACAAGACCGGGGCUACAACUAUCCUCAUGGGCUUGUAUUGGGCCAAGGCGGCGGAAUACUACCUCAAUUGUCACAUCAGAAGAAAUAACAACUUCCACUACCAACGGUGGCUCUGAAUCCAGUUCACUAUUGACUGAGACCAUGAUGGAAACCACAGAGAUAGUUACAUCUGAAACCACGCAGUAUGCUGCAUCAGAAGAGGUCCAGAGCACCAUCUCGGCAUCCGAUGCUGUUGGUACCUUGGAUGACAAGGUAGACAGUGAUGGUGAAGACAUCAUCGAUCAUCACGUGGAUGAGGACAGGAUCACCGAAGUAGAGCUGUGGCAACAACUCGAAAACGAGCUGUACCGGAAAAGGGAAGGGGAGAACGACAUAGUGGAAGAGAUGACUGAAAGUAACAUUGCCGAGGAAGUUGGCGGCAGAGCUCAAGAUGUCCUCAGUGAACCCAACGAGAAGGAGGUCCACAGAUUCUACCCACCUGGGAAAAUCAUGCACGUAAUAACAUCCACAAGAGAAGCAGCCAUAGACGACGACGAGACCAGCGAACAUGAGGAUGAAGAGCCAGACCUUCACCAAGUUGAUGCUGCCGGGGAGUCGGAGACAAGCAUAGGGAUCUUCUUGACGCCAAGAUCUCUGUAUGGCAAGCUGAGGCUGUCGAAGAUGAUGAUCAACGAUCAUUACAUGCCGAUGUACAGAAGAAACAUCGAGCAGUUGGUUGCGGAGCUUGAGAAGGACCUGGCUCUGUAG
rnacentral:rRNA from 1 species